CAGUCGCCGCGGGAAUACGUAGGGUGCGAGCGUUGUCCGGAUUUAUUGGGCGUAAAGGGAGCGCAGGCGGUUAGAUAAGUCUGAAGUUAAAGGCUGUGGCUUAACCAUAGUACGCUUUGGAAACUGUUUAACUUGAGUGCAAGAGGGGAGAGUGGAGUUCCAUGUGUAGCGGUGAAAUGCGUAGAUAUAUGGAGGAACACCGGUGGCGAAAGCGGCUCUCUGGCUUGUAACUGACGCUGAGGCUCGAAAGCGUGGGGAGCAAACAGGAUUAGAUACCCCUGUAGUCCCUGUCUCUUAUACA
rnacentral:rRNA from 1 species